GGAGGAUUGGCCGAGUGGUAAGGCACGGGCUUGCUAAGCCCUGGUCGGGCCUGAAAAGCCCGCGCACGUUCGAUCCGUGCAUCCUCCG
rnacentral:tRNA from 1 species